AUGGGGAACAAGAUUCAGGUAUAUGAUUUGAGGUUCGUAGUGAAGAAGAGCUGUGAGAAACUGCAGUUGCCUUCUUUUAUUGGGAACAAAUACUAUGGGGAUCAAGUCAGGGAUUCAUGGCAAGGGAUUGACAAAUUUUUAUCAAAGCAGUUUGCUACACACUGCAGUGUGACAGAAAAUCCGUUUCGAAAAAAGUGUGACAGAAAAGGUGUGCUAUUGUUUCCACAUCUCCUUUUGCUAAUCACUAAUGUUUUUCCCAAGUCUUCUCUUCCUUUUUGUAUUGACCUAGAAAUAGUUUUGGCAUUGGAGUUAGUUUCUUCAAUGUUUUCAUUGUUCUUAUCGGGAAGUGUGAAGUGA
rnacentral:rRNA from 1 species